rnacentral:ncRNA from 2 species
AAAAGUAAAUAUCUCCGAGUCUAUAUUCCUAAAGAUAUAUCUAUGGAAUUAAGACCGUUAGGGUGUAAUUAGAAAUAAUUAUGCCUUCCAUUGUGAAAAGGAGAAAUAUUUAGAUAUAU